CGUUGCGGUAGGACGGGAGAGGGACACCUGCGGGUGUGCUGGAGUCGAAACCAGUCUGCUAACCCUCUUUCGUUCUGCCACCAUA
rfam:Acinetobacter tandoii DSM 14970 = CIP 107469 genomic scaffold acPFI-supercont1.23, whole genome shotgun sequence.